UGUGGGAGCUGGCUUGCCUGCGAUACAAGCACCUCGGUGUAUCAGUGAUACCGAAGUGAUGCAAUCGCGGGCAAGCCAGCUCCCACA
rnacentral:antisense_RNA from 1 species